rnacentral:tRNA from 2 species
GGAGGGGUGGCCGAGCGGUUUAAGGCAGCGGUCUUGAAAACCGCCGUCCCGCAAGGGACCAGGAGUUCGAAUCUCCUCCCCUCCGCCA